rnacentral:rRNA from 1 species
UAGAGUUUGAUCCUGGCUCACCUUGAACGCUGGCGGCAUGCCUAACACAUGCAAGUCGAACGGCAGCACAGUAGAGCUUGCUCUAUGGGUGGCGAGUGGCGGACGGGUGAGUAAUGCAUCGGGAUCUACCCNNNCGUGGGGGAUAACGUAGGGAAACUUACGCUAAUACCGCAUACGUCCUAUGGGAGAAAGCGGGGGAUCGAAAGACCUCGCGCGGUUGGACGAACCGAUGUGCGAUUAGCUAGUUGGUAGGGUAAUGGCCUACCAAGGCGACGAUCGCUAGCUGGUCUGAGAGGAUGAUCAGCCACACUGGAACUGAGACACGGUCCAGACUCCUACGGGAGGCAGCAGUGGGGAAUAUUGGACAAUGGGCGCAAGCCUGAUCCAGCAAUGCCGCGUGUGUGAAGAAGGCCUUCGGGUUGUAAAGCACUUUUAUCAGGAGCGAAAUACUACCGGCUAAUAUCCGGUGGGGCUGACGGUACCUGAGGAAUAAGCACCGGCUAACUUCGUGCCAGCAGCCGCGGUAAUACGAAGGGUGCAAGCGUUAAUCGGAAUUACUGGGCGUAAAGCGUGCGUAGGCGGUGAUUUAAGUCUGCUGUGAAAUCCCCGGGCUCAACCUGGGAAUGGCAGUGGAUACUGGAUCGCUAGAGUGUGAUAGAGGAUGGUGGAAUUCCCGGUGUAGCGGU